rnacentral:rRNA from 1 species
AGGAAUAUUGGUCAAUGGGCGAGAGCCUGAACCAGCCAAGUCGCGUGAGGGAAGACGGCCCUACGGGUUGUAAACCUCUUUUGUCAGGGAGCAAGAACAGGCACGUGUGCCUGACUGAGAGUACCUGAAGAAAAAGCAUCGGCUAACUCCGUGCCAGCAGCCGCGGUGAUACGGAGGAUGCGAGCGUUAUCCGGAUUUAUUGGGUUUAAAGGGUGCGUAGGCGGACUGCCAAGUCAGCGGUAAAAUAGCGGGGCUCAACCCCGUCGAGCCGUUGAAACUGGUGGUCUUGAGUGGGCGAGAAGUACGCGGAAUGUGUGGUGUAGCGGUGAAAUGCAUAGAUAUCACGCAGAACUCCGAUUGCGAAGGCAGCGUACCGGCGCCCGACUGACGCUGAAGCACGAAAGCGUGGGUAUCGAACAGGAUUAGAUACCCUGGUAGUCCACGCAGUAAACGAUGAAUGCUAGCUGUCCGGGACGAAUGAGUCCUGGGUGGCACAGCGAAAGCGUUAAGCAUUCCACCUGGGGAGUACGCCGGCAACGGUGAAACUCAAAGGAAUUGACGGGGGCCCGCACAAGCGGAGGAACAUGUGGUUUAAUUCGAUGAUACGCGAGGAACCUUACCCGGGCUCAAACGCACUACGAAUGAUGCUGAAAGGUGUCAGCCAGCAAUGGCGGAGUGCGAGGUGCUGCAUGGUUGUCGUCAGCUCGUGCCGUGAGGUGUCGGCUUAAGUGCCAUAACGAGCGCAACCCCUAUUGACAGUUGCCAACUGGUCAAGCCGAGGACUCUGUCGAGACUGCCGGCGCAAGCUGUGAGGAAGGCGGGGAUGACGUCAAAUCAGCACGGCCCUUACGUCCGGGGCGACACACGUGUUACAAUGGCAGGUACAGCGGGAAGCCACCUGGCGACAGGGAGCGGAACCCGAAAACCUGUCUCAGUUCGGAUUGGAGUCUGCAACCCGACUCCAUGAAGCUGGAUUCGCUAGUAAUCGCGCAUCAGCCAUGGCGCGGUGAAUACGUUCCCG